rnacentral:lncRNA from 1 species
CUGAGACAUCACAGUUGUGUUCAAAUUAGGACUUUGUUCUUAGCUUGAAGGAGGCAGCUGGGGUGCUCAUCUUUCUUCCCCACACUGCUCUGCUCCCCUGGUGACUUGAGCUAACCUCUUCGAUUUCUCUCUAAACCUGUCUAUAUCUCCUGACUGCCCAGUCUCUCUUGCCCUGUUUCGCUGUCCACUCCUGCCCCCAGAAAGAGGGAUUCUGAGAUAGUGUGAGGAGAUGUGCCAGUCCCAUGACCAUGGCCCUAGCUGCGAAGAUAAGCUGUGGGUGAGAGUGCAAACCCAGAUUUAGGCCCUGGUUUACCUGUGUCAAUGCUGAACUGUAUUGUGCAGGGAUAGGAACAGAGAAAACCUGAUCUGCUGUUCAGUAAGCUUACCAACACUGCUUUGUUUUACAGAGAUGCGAUUGAAAGCCAAGCUGCUUCAGCCACCCUGAGCUCCUGAGAGAUAUCAGCUAAUAGGUGACAUAAAUUACACUGAGAUUAGCAUUCACCAGAUGGAGUCAUCUCAUAGCUGUAUGGAAAAGCCGUGUUCCUUCAUUGUCAUCUGUUCCGAAAGGAGAUGCUUGACAGAUGGGCCGAAAGCACUGCAGACGUUUGAACAAGGAAAUGGAGAGGGAGCCUGCUGGAAGCAGGGCUUCACGCAGCCAGCCGCGGAUGAUGAAUAGAGUGUGAUUGUGUCUGACAGGUAGUAAUAUAACUAUUCAUUCACCACAGAACACCUGGAGCACACUAUAUUAAAUGGUACAAGAUGGAGAGAUCCUGUGACAGGAAUGGGAAGUGUGAAUCCCAUGCUGAGUUUAGGUACAGCAAUAUAAAGGGUCAGGGGUCGCACAAUAUAAAGUGCCUCGGAGAGGGCUGUAAUUAAAUUAUUUGCUUACUAAAGUGUUUCUAAUGUUUUCCUAACGUGUUGCCAGGACCGUUACUUCAGCAUGUCUGCAUAGCUGGAAUGAAAAUAGCAAGUGCUGCUUUGCUGACUACUGCGCUUCCGUUUUGCACUGGGAAGCUUGCUAAUCAAAGUGUUGUCAUUACUGCACAAAGCCAUUGUGUAGCAUGAGAGGUUCGGGUCCUAAAAGCUGUGUGCUUUGUCUAAUAACCUGAAGCUUUCAGCUGACCUUAUUUUAGGGCAUUUGGGGCUGAAACUGUACUAUAUGUGACAGACCUGCAGAAAUCAAAAGAUCUUGCAUUCUUAGUAGGCGUGGGCUGUGGAGCUACAUAGCACUAUGGUUUUAUUUUGUGUACUGUGGCUUUAACAUCCUGGGAAGCAGAUCUGAGCUGAAAGAAGCUGCCAUUUUAAGUAGAGAACUGCAGUUUUAACCCAGAGGAACUUCAUUUUAUUAUUUUUUUGUUUUGUUUUUCUUUUUAAGGAGGAAACAAUGCUUUAAAAAUAGCAAGCUAGGACCUCAAAACAGAUUUCUGUCAGUCUGAGAUGCAGAAGAGCAGCAGUAAAGGCUGUAGUUCAUAUCUUGCUGGGCAGGGCUGUAAACUCAGCAUCCUCGUCUUCUUUCUGGCCACUGGUGACUUGUAAAAAUGUAAUGACAGAAUGCCAUUUUGUCUCUCAAAUAUAGGCAGCUGAUGUAAGAAAACCCAAGUGAAGGUUCUGUUUUGGCAAUAUGAAAAUCUAAGCAGUUUAUAUAUUUCUUUGUUUCUCUUUUUUAUUUUAUUACACCAUUUUGUCAGACUGUCCUUCUGCUGCUAUCUGCCACAUGAAAACAACAUGUGAUGGAAUACUGGCAGGAAGGCUAUGUAUCCCACCAACAUUCACCUGUGACAUCAUGGGCCAAAAGAAUAAAAUAGGAGGCAUUACUUUCA